CCAGCUUCUGACAAACUUUGCCACAAUGCCUGCCCAGAUCAACAUGUAGAAGGUUCUACUAGCUGCACCAGAUCAGAUAUUGACCCUAUAAAGACAAAUACAUCAAUAGAUUUACACCACCAAGCAAAUUAUACAUCAAACUGGUUGCUGACUUAUCCACACGAGAAUGUGCACAACCUUGAAUAUGGUGUGUAUUUGAUGUGCAGU